GUUGAGAACCACUGCUCUAAAGGUACCAGAUCUCAUCUGAUCUUAGAAACUAAAUGGGGUCUAUCAGGUUGGCACUUGGAUGGGAAACUGCCAAUGAAUAUCAGGUGCCAUCGGCU
rnacentral:rRNA from 1 species